rnacentral:lncRNA from 1 species
AUAAGUUAAGGAAAUAAGUAAAAUCAAACGAGUGUGCGUGCCUGUCUCGAACUUGAAUAGGUCAAGAACAGUAAGGUAAGAACAAUAAAGUUAAAGAACAAUUCUCGUGAACAAUGAGCGAGAAAGUAAGAGAGUGUAUUCUUUUGCCAAUUAUUAAUAUAGUUACAAAUGAUUGGGUCCCCCUUAUAUAAUAGGGAAAUCCUAAAUAAAGUACAUUUCUAUUUAAAAUAAGGAAUCUUAUUGGGACAGAUGUCUAACCGCCUAGUACGAAUUCGUACCAAUUCGUACAAAUUCCUAUUCCGAAAUUUACACCGUGAUUUUGGGGACAUUGUAAGAAUCUUGCUCUUUCUGGUACAAUCUCGUAAUGGCAUCAUUUUGGGAUUGGACAUACUCGACUUCGAUAUUCUUUCGGUUCUCAGACCUUAUAUUCUAUUAUCGGGCUUGAGCUUGGUCCAUAAAACUCGAACUCGAACUCAUCAUCCUGAAUUCUUCAACCGUAUACAAAAUGAUACCACCAAACAGAUUGAAGAUGAUCCUAGAAGAUUUAUGGUUAUCGCUAGCUACAUACAGUGUGAUGUGAUUUGACCAUCUCGCAUUCAAUCAUUCUGAGAGAAAAGCUUUAAAUGGGACCCUAAGUGCAAAAACGAUGUAAACGUGUUAUAAGUAAUUAGUUUUCAGAAAAUAACUACCGGAUCAUAUCAUUUAACUUUAAUCUACACAGCAAGUCUAUCAAUUACAACCCUUUAAUUAAAAUCUACUCCUUUCGGUCAAUUUAGUCUAUUUAAAAAAGAACAAUAUCAAGUUUCUUUGACUGAUAAGGUUAUGGUGACUAUCUUCAAGCAUAACUAGUGUCAAUGGUAUAAAAUACAAAAUAAUAAAGUUUGUUUUGAAAAGUUAUCAUCGUGAUUAUUACUUAUUCGGCUUGAAUAGUGCAUGCCUAAAGUUCAAACAAAAAUAUCUGAAGAUUGCUUGCAUAACUAAUAUGCCAAAUUUUAGAUAAUUUUUGUACUUCAAUUGCGUAAUUCAUAAAAUUUGUAAAUUACGACUAUGCCCCCAAAAUCGACUAUCAAUGCAUUUUCCCAUGGUAAAUCAAAUUGACCCUUAAGGAAACUUAUCAAAAUUUAAAAAAAUAAGGCUUCAAAAAUACCCACAAAAUAAGCUCCCACUAUAAAUAGAUAGGAGCAAGUAGUUGUUAAUACCACAAAUUAUGUUUUCAUGGCAAUGACUGGAGCUCUCUUCCCUUCUUAUCUCUGUAUGCACAUAACCAGCAGUUGUCUAAAUGGAAGCAGCAAAUUUAUUGAGGUUUCAAGCGGAAGACCUCAUAAAUGGGCCGUUCAAGAAGAUCUUCUCCGAACAACUACGAACUACAUUAAAGUGAAGCUUUCAUAUCUAUACAUACAUUGAUUGUAGAAAGAAAUUUUAAAUUACUACAGUAACUCUUCAUGAUUAGUAACCUGAAAAAUAAGGCUGAUAACAUACCAUGAAAUGUUAACAUAGAGUGAUAAUGUAAAUUUUUCGUUACACUGUCAGUAUAUAUUAAGAAACUAUAAAGAUUUUAAGGUUUGUUUUCAUCUUAAGAUGUUCGCCGUUUUUCUUUUUAUAUAUACUAAGAGAAUUCUUAUUGUAGGAUGGAUUUCACAGUAAAUUUGCACUAGUGGAGGAUGUUAAGAAUGAAUUUAGGACAAAUGCAAAUCAUAAUCAGUUGGAUAAUCUUGUCUUAAUCGACGCCGUUCAACGUAUGGGAAUUGAUUAUCAUUUUCAAGAAGAAAUUGAAUCAGUUUUAGAGGAAGAGUACGUUAAAAGUGCUUGUUUUCUCAAGUAUCAAACUCCUUAUGAGGUUUCUCUUUGUUUUCGGCUCUCGAGACAACAAGGUUACUAUGUGCCUGCAGGUUAGUUUUUUCUUCAGUGAAAAUUUUAUAACAUAUGCGUAUCGGUUUAGUAGAUUUUUAUUUGUUUUAUAAGGAGGUUACUAGUCCCUUCCAUAAAAGAAAUUCUAAAAUUUUGAUAUAUCCGUUGAAGAAAAUCAUUGAAUAACAUUAAUCACAAGGAUUGUUUGACUAGUUACCUUUAUUUCUCUCCAAACUUCAUAUAUCAAUUAUUGGAGGAAUCACUUUUAAGAACCUUCUAUUGUUUGAACAGAUGUGUUUAAAAAAUUCAAGAACAAAUAUAAUGGUAUUUUUGGAUUGAAGCUGAGCCAAGACAUAAGUGGGUUAAUAGGUCUAUAUGAAGCAGCACAACUUGGUGUAGAAGGUGAACAUAUACUAGAUGAAGUUGCAAAUUUCAGUGAGGAGCACCUCAGUGCAUAUCUUGCACAUAAUAAUGACUUUGUUCAAGCUACAAUUAUUAGAGACACAUUGAAGUAUCCCUACCACAAGAGUUUAGCAAGUUACAAGGCUAAAAAUUUCAUCACUAACUUCAGAGGAAUUAAUGGAUGGGGCAGAAGCAUCUUGAAAGAAUUGGCAGAUAUUAACUUCUCCAUAGCCCGAGAGAUUCAUCACCAUGAAUUGUCUCAAGUUGACAGGUAACUUAGUUAGUUGAGUUUAACUAUAUUUGAUAGUGUAAAAAAUAGAUUAAUCCUACUUCUUAUGAACAGUUACCAAUAACUAUUAAUCAGGUGACUUGAAAACGUAAAAAUUUUUCAACAAUAUUAUGUUUGGAACUAAAACUCAUGAAGCAAUUUCUAAAUAUAGGUGGUGGAAAAGUCUUGGUUUAGCUGAAGAGUUGAAGCUUUUGAGAGACCAACCAUUAAAAUGGUAUGCUUGGCCAAUGGCACUCUUUACAGAUCCAAGAAUGUCACUGCAAAGGGUUGAGCUAGCAAAGUGCAUCUCUUUCAUUUAUGUUAUAGAUGACAUCUUCGAUGUUUAUGGGACAGUUGAAGAAUUAACCCUCUUCACAGAAGCCGUUAAUAGGUAAUUUCUUGAAAACGUUUUUGUGAGUUUAAGUUUUAUACGCUGUCGUGUGUAAGAUUUUUCACUCCGUAUUCAGUAUUGCAGCCCAUCUAGUACGGAUUCACGCUUUGAACGGAGACAGCUCUAGAAUUUCUGGAAAAUGGGUGCACUACCGAAAAAGUAAGAAAAACAAAAAAAGAAUAAAUCAAGUGAGAAUUAAUCCAUAUUCCUUUGAAUAAAUAACUCAGCAUUCGAUUAGUUGCACCAUUCAACUUUAUUUUUUGGAGCAUGGAAGGCCAAUAACUAAUAUUAGAUAAAUUUUACGAAAUAAUACAUAAAAUUUUAUGAAUUCACGUGCACGUAAAAACGGCUUAAAUCGCCCUUAGACAUUAAGUCCUAAUUUAGGGGAUAAAAUGUUUCUUAUUAAAGAUGGUUACAUACUCAAAAUUUAAAUUCGAGACAAUUAAUGAUAUAGAAUUACUUACCUGUGCACCAUGAGUUUGGUGAUGUGUCUUAGUGCAAAAUUAGUGAUACAGCAAAA